rnacentral:rRNA from 1 species
UACGUAGGGUGCAAGCGUUAAUCGGAAUUACUGGGCGUAAAGCGUGCGCAGGCGGUUCGCUAAGUCAGAUGUGAAAUCCCCGGGCUUAACCUGGGAACUGCAUUUGUGACUGGCGGGCUAGAGUAUGGCAGAGGGGGGUAGAAUUCCACGUGUAGCAGUGAAAUGCGUAGAGAUGUGGAGGAAUACCGAUGGCGAAGGCAGCCCCCUGGGCCAAUACUGACGCUCAGGCACGAAAGCGUGGGGAGCAAACAGG